rnacentral:rRNA from 1 species
UGCAGCUUGCUGCGGGUACUCGAGUGGCGAACGGGUGAGUAACACGUGGGUGAUCUGCCUUGCACUUCGGGAUAAGCUUGGGAAACUGGGUCUAAUACCGGAUAGGACAGCUGUUUAGUGUCAGUUGUGGAAAGUUUUUUCGGUGCAAGAUGAGCUCGCGGCCUAUCAGCUUGUUGGUGGGGUAAUGGCCUACCAAGGCGUCGACGGGUAGCCGGCCUGAGAGGGUGUACGGCCACAUUGGGACUGAGAUACGGCCCAGACUCCUACGGGAGGCAGCAGUGAGGAAUAUUGCACAAUGGGCGGAAGCCUGAUGCAGCGACGCCGCGUGGGGGAUGAAGGCCUUCGGGUUGUAAACUCCUUUCGACAGGGACGAAGCGUAAGUGACGGUACCUGUAUAAGAAGCAUCGGCUAACUACGUGCCAGCAGCCGCGGUAAUACGUAGGGUGCGAGCGUUGUCCGGAAUUACUGGGCGUAAAGAGCUCGUAGGUGGUUUGUCGCUCGUCUGUGAAAUUCCGGGGCUUAACUCCGGGCGUGCAGGCGAUACGGGCUGACUUGAGUGCUGUAGGGGAGACUGGAAUUCCUGGUGUAGCGGUGAAAUGCGCAGAUAUCAGGAGGAACACCGAUGGCGAAGGCAGGUCUCUGGGCAGUAACUGACGCUGAGGAGCGAAAGCAUGGGUAGUGAACAGGAUUAGAUACCCUGGUAGUCCAUGCCGUAAACGGUGGGCGCUAGGUGUAGGGGGCUUCCACGUCUUCUGUGCCGUAGCUAACGCAUUAAGCGCCCCGCCUGGGGAAGUACGGCCGCAAGGCUA